rnacentral:rRNA from 1 species
UACGAAGGGGGCUAGCGUUGCUCGGAAUUACUGGGCGUAAAGGGCGCGUAGGCGGAUAGUUUAGUCAGAGGUGAAAGCCCAGGGCUCAACCUUGGAAUUGCCUUUGAUACUGGCUGUCUUGAGUAUGGGAGAGGUGAGUGGAACUCCGAGUGUAGAGGUGAAAUUCGUAGAUAUUCGGAAGAACACCAGUGGCGAAGGCGACUCACUGGCCCAUUACUGACGCUGAGGCGCGAAAGCGUGGGGAGCAAACAGG